AAAAAGGGCGUCUGCCAUGAUUGGCACAGCUGUGUAUGGGUUUUUCUGAUACAGCUGCGGAAUCGCUAUCAAGAGAUUUCGAAUGCACAAUUUUUAAAACUUGGGGGGAAGUCGUGGCCUAAUGGUUAGAGAGUCGGACUCAUAACCCAA
rnacentral:snRNA from 1 species